ensembl:lincRNA Gm14809 predicted gene 14809
GAGGCCCUCUGCAGCCGGACAAGGGGACAAGGCAGCGAUCCAGGGCCCUGCUUCCUGGUGUAGCUAGCCUGCCUCUUCCAGCCCAGUUCCCAAGUGCCCGAGGAGUCCAGAAGAAGACAUUGGAUCGUUUGACCCUGAAGUUACAGAUGCUAGGAAGCUGGGAAUCAAAGCCUGCCCCUCUGAAAGAUUAUUGAGUCUCAGCUGUGGAGCAAUAUCUUCAGCCUCUCUGGAGUGAGAAAGGUCAACCAUGGAAAGUAACCCUUUACCAGGAGAAGUUUAUAGGUGAAGAAUCCAGCAGCACCUUCAUGAAAGAAUUGCUGGCAGCAAUGCAGACUCCUGAGCCCUAGGAAUUCGAAUUCAGCUGCUACAGCACGGAGCAGAAGAUCCUCUUCAAGGACUUCAGGCCCAGCUGUGCCUGGGCACUAUCUUGAAACAUCCUCAGCACAUACUGUUCAAAAGAGUCCUCAAAAUCACGCAGCGGUAUUGCAAAGGCAUCAUCAGGACUAUGGGGCAAGCAGCAAUCCAGUGUGCUAGGAUGCAGAAAACCUAGAGUUCAGUGCCUCUUCUACCACCGAUGGGCUAUGUGCCCUCGCAGGCCACCUGCUCUCUCCUCGGCCUCUACUGCUGCCUUACGAGGAAGGAAGGUCUGGAAAACAUAGGCUUUCCCGAGUUCAAAUGUAUCAGAGCUUCAAAGACUGCUGUAUUUU